rnacentral:rRNA from 1 species
UACGGAGGGUCCAAGCGUUAUCCGGAAUCAUUGGGUUUAAAGGGUCCGCAGGCGGACUAGUAAGUCAGUGGUGAAAUCUCUCAGCUUAACUGGGAAACUGCCAUUGAUACUGUUAGUCUUGAAUUCGGUCGAAGUGGGCGGAAUGUGUCAUGUAGCGGUGAAAUGCAUAGAUAUGACACAGAACACCGAUAGCGAAGGCA